CUUCGCAGUGCGCACACGGGGAGCUUGCUCCUAGAGAUGCUGCGAGGAAAGUCCCCGUGCCUCGGUGCAGAGAGUGCGAGUUGGAGACCGCA
rnacentral:RNase_MRP_RNA from 1 species